AGAAGUGACUUUUCAAAGCAGUUUUGGUGAAUGCUGAACUUGGAUUUACAAUCUUCAUUGGCUUUCAGCUUUGGGUUUUUAAUUUCAAGUUUCCAGUGCAGUGCUGCUUUCCUAGGCCCAUAUUUUCCGUACGUGAUUGUACAUUCUUUCUGGUGCCAAUUUUAGAAAGGCAAACAGCCGUUGAUACCUACAGCUUUCAAAUCAUAUCCAUAAUGGUGCCAGAGUUGCCCUCUUAAGUUCGAAUCUGAAGCAGCUCUUCUUGGAGUUGGUAAGUUUGAAUAUGAAGAAGCGCAUUGAGUGACUUGUAAGAGAAGUUUGAAUCAACUUCUGUACACAAUGUUGUUAGAUUGAAGUAUUGGUUGGAACUAAAAAUCCGAUUGAAUAGAUAGUUAAACUGGUUUUCUC